UUUAUUUUUACACCAUCUUUUGUUUAGCACAAUAGAAACAUUAUUCAUUGAGAUAUCAAAGUGGAUACUUAUGUUUUUUGUACGCAGAGAAAAACCACGUCAAAUUAGGAGAUUUUGGAUUUAGUAUGGUUUCAGUAAAAGGAAGUAACGAAGAGCUCUUCACGUUUUUCUGCCAUUUCAGUGGCACGUUAGAAACGCAGUAUUUUAUUAGCGAGUAAUUCCUACGCCGCAGCCAGCUCAUUCGUCGCAGUAUUGUAUUACUUUAAUACGCGAGUUCAUAAUACUAUAAGAAAUUAUAUGUACAUUACAUACUAUGAACAUUUCUAAACUAAGUAUUAGGUAUAUUUCAGGAGGAAUACUAUGCAUAAUAGGUAAGUACCAACAUUAGAUGGAGACGAAAAAUUAUCUGAAAUCGAAAUUAAAGCCAAGAAGCAGCUGUUAGCUUACAGUAUCGAUGAUAAAAUAUUAGAAGAGCAGACAAUAGAAUGUAUUAAAAGCGAUGUGAUGUAAUCGCGACGUAUCAAAUAAUUAUUCAUAAAUUAUCAACUUCGAAUCAUAAUGUACCCCUGCAGUUACAAGAAUUACUGCUAAAAAAAACUCAAAUCACGCUUGUUCACACCUUCUUGUUAUUACAAAAAGAGUACUUAAGUAAUAAGAUGCGUGGACGUGAAAAAAACCUAAUAAAUUUUUUGUAUAAUUUUACAGAAUGUUGCAUUUAUUAUUACGGUACUGCUCGUACUAAUCGUUCUUCUAGGUACUGAUAGAAAUAUUGAAUCAAUAUGUUAGUGAAAUAAAAAUACUUAUUUACAAAUUUUCUACUUUUCAUGAAGGAAUGUGUUUAUUUGCAUGAGAAUGAACAAUAUAACUUAUGUAAAUUUUCUAGCCGUGAAAUCAUUGUACCAUUUUGAUGCGUUAUCUAGCAUUUAAUUGAUCACACAACCCUUGACUAAUACGCAAAUAAUUGCAAUCGUAUAACGCAACGAA